rnacentral:misc_RNA from 1 species
GAAGAACCUUUCGUACGUGAGC